rnacentral:rRNA from 1 species
GACGAACGCUGGCGGCGUGCUUAACACAUGCAAGUCGAACGAAGUGGCGAACGGGUGAGUAACGCGUAAUCAACCUGCCCUUCAGAGGGGUACAACAGUUGGAACCGCCUGCUAAUACCGCAUACGGACUGAGUGGAUGGCGACUGAUUGGCUAGUUGGAGGGGUAACGGCCCACCAAGGCGAUGAUCAGUAGCCGGUCUGAGAGGAUGAACGGCCACAUUGGGACUGAGAAACGGCCCAGACUCCUACGGGAGGCAGCAGUGGGGAAUCUUCCGCAAUGGAGGAAAGUCUGAAGGAGCAACGCCGCGGGAGUGAUGACGGCCUUCGGGUUGGAAAGCUCUGUUAAUCGGGACGCGGUACCGGAAUAGAAAGCCACGGCUAACUACGUGCCAGCAGCCGCGGUAAUUC